GGGCGGUACUACGCUCGUCGGCUUUGGGCCGGUCUUCGGACGGUUGUCUUUAUUGGCAGCCGCUCGUGGCUGGCUGGUUUACUUUGAGCAAAUCAGAGUGCUCAGCACAGGCGUCUUGCCGGAAUGUUCGUGCAUGGAAUAAUAGAAAAGGAUUUCGGUCCUCUUUUAUUGGUUUUGUGGACUGAGAUAAUGGUUAACAGAGACGAACGAAGGCAUUCGUAUUGCUACGUGAGAGGUGAAAUUCUUGGACCGUAGCAGGACGGACUACAGCGAAAGCAUUUGCCAAGCGCGUCUUCAUUAAUCAAGAACGAAAGUCAGAGGUUCGAAGGCGAUCAGAUACCGCCCUAGUUCUGACCGUAAACGAUGCCAACUAGCGAUCCGCCGGUGGCUUCUGGCCCUGGUGGGGAGCUUCCCGGAAACGAAAGUCUUCCGGUUCCGGGGGAAGUAUGGUUGCAAAGCUGAAACUUAAAGGAAUUGACGGAAGGGCACCACCAGGAGUGGAGCCUGCGGCUUAAUUUGACUCAACACGGGAAAACUCACCCGGCCCGGACACCGUAAGGAUUGACAGAUUGAUAGCUUUUUCAUGAUUCGGUGGAUGGUGGUGCAUGGCCGUUCUUAGUUCGUGGAUCGAUUUGUCUGGUUUAUUCCGAUAACGAGCGAGACUCUAGCCUACUAACUAGUGUGGGCAUUGCCACUGUGCUCGUCACUUCUUAGAGGGAUCGGCUG
rnacentral:rRNA from 1 species